rnacentral:rRNA from 1 species
UUGACCUCAAAUCGGGUGAGACUACCCGCUGAACUUAAGCAUAUCAAUAAGCGGAGGAAAAGAAACUAACAAGGAUUCCCCUAGUAACUGCGAGUGAAGCGGGAAAAGCUCAAAUUUAAAAUCUGGUGGCCUUUGGUCAUCCGAGUUGUAAUUUAGAGAAGCGUCUUCCGCGCUGGACCGUGCACAAGUCUCCUGGAACGGAGCGUCAUAGAGGGUGAGAAUCCCGUCUUUGGCACGGAUCCCAGGGCUUCUGUGAUGCGCUCUCGAAGAGUCGAGUUGUUUGGGAAUGCAGCUCAAAAUGGGUGGUGAACUCCAUCUAAAGCUAAAUAUUGGCGAGAGACCGAUAGCGAACAAGUACCGUGAGGGAAAGAUGAAAAGCACUUUGGAAAGAGAGUGAAACAGUACGUGAAAUUGUUGAAAGGGAAACGCUUGAAGUCAGUCGCGUCGUCCGAGACUCAGCCUCGCCUCGGCUUGGUGUACUUCUCGACCGACGGGUCAGCAUCAAUUUUGCCCCUUGGAUAAUGGCGAGGGAAAUGUGGCACCUUUGCAGGUGCGUUAUAGUCCCUCGUCGCAUGCAAGGGUUGGGAUUGAGGAACUCAGCACGCGCCUUUUGGUGUCGGGGCUUUGCCCACGAUACGUGCUUAGGAUGUUGGCGUAAUGGCUUUAAACGACCCGUC